AACGUAGGAGGCGAGCGUUAUCCGGAUUUACUGGGCGUAAAGGGCUCGUAGGUGGCCAACUAAGUCAGACGUGAAAUCCCUCGGCUUAACCGGGGAACUGCGUCUGAUACUGGAUGGCUUGAGUUUGGGAGAGGGAUGCGGAAUUCCAGGUGUAGCGGUGAAAUGCGUAGAUAUCUGGAGGAACACCGGUGGCGAAGGCGGCAUCCUGGACCAACACUGACACUGAGGAGCGAAAGCCAGGGGAGCAAACGGG
rnacentral:rRNA from 1 species